CCAUGUGCUGUGCCUGAGACAAACUGUGCAAACGCUACUGUGCUCUUCGUCCUCCUGGCUACCGGCACUGCUACUGUACAUGCUGUAGGGGAAAUGUUCUCUCCAGGGGCCAGUGGAGGGCCAAGGGGCUUGAGUUGACAACACUGAUAACCAAGAUCAGCUGCUCGACAGGUUGCAGAUCCUCUCAAUAUUCCGCAGUCUCUCCCUCUGUAAGACAAACAAAUAAAGAGAGUCUCAUCUUCCUGCAGUUGGUCCAAAAGUCUGAACUAUCCCCAAAACAUAUAGCUUGGACUAAAUUUAGGUCUGUUGGUUCACACCAUGGUCGAAGGCACCUUUCACAACUGUUAUUUUGGUUUGGACUAAACUGAAAAGUCUCAGGGUCUGUACCAAACAAGAUGUGAAAGCCCCCUGGGGUUCAACAAAGGCUCAAAGUUAACAGACCAAAGUCACGCCUGUUGCUGUUCUUUUUUGGUGUAACUGAGUUGGG